UACGUAGGGGGCUAGCGUUGUCCGGAAUCAUUGGGCGUAAAGCGCGUGUAGGCGGUCCGGUAAGUCCGCUGUGAAAGUCGGGGGCUCAACCCUCGAAUGCCGGUGGAUACUGUCGGGCUAGAGUGCGGAAGAGGCGAGUGGAAUUCCUGGUGUAGCGGUGAAAUGCGCAGAUAUCAGGAGGAACACCAAUUACGAAGGCAGCUCGCUGGGACGUUACUGACGCUGAGACGCGAAAGCGUGGGGAGCAAACAGG
rnacentral:rRNA from 1 species